AAGUCAUGGCUCCAGGAAAAUGGAUAAGCUCUCGAAUAAUUGCAAAUUACUCACAUUUGUUUGCACCAUCAAUCAACUAGUAAUAAUGUGGAGUCUUAAUUAAAAAAUGAUGCUUCACAUGUCCUAUCUACUGCUAAUAAUGGAAGUUUGUCUAUAGGAGAAGCAUCCCCAAUAGCUGAUUCGCUAAGUUUAUCUCAUCUAUCAGCACCAGAGACUAAGACAACUAUCAUUGCUUCAAGUUCUAAUAAAAAAAGGAGUCUAAAUAGAUGUGUAGCAUUAGAGGAGCAUUACAAAAUAAAAGGUAAGAUAUCAAUAAUCAUUCCAGAGGGCUUGAAUAGGCCAGUUGGAGAGUAUCACUCAAAGUUGUCUAGAGAAGCGGGUAUUAUAAUUAGAAACUUUGCACCCAUGCAAGUCAAAAGAUGGGAACAAGUGAGUGAUGUUGAUAAAGAAUUACUUUUAAAAAAAUUGACGGUAAAGAUUAAUUUGUCCAUUGAAGAAUCACAUGUAAAGGAUUGUGUGAUGCACACGAUGAGCAAGAGAUUUUCUGAUUUUCGCUCAAAGGCUUAUGUACAUUAUAAAAAACAUGGAGGUGGAAUGUUAGCAAGACAAAAGCCUUACGAAGAACUUAUUGAGAGACCAUAUGAUUGGAUUUGGUUAUGUAAUUUUUU